UGUAUCAGUGCCGUAGGGAAACUGUUAAGCGCGCCGCCUGGGAAGUACGCUCGCAAGGGUGAAACUUAAAGGAAUUGGCGGGGAAGCACCACAAGGGGUGAAGCCUGCGGUUCAAUUGGACUCAACGCCGGGAAACUUACCGGGGGCGACAGCAGGAUGAAGGUCAGGCUGACGACCUUACCAGACAAGCUGAGCGGAGGUGCAUGGCCGUCGCCAGUUCGUGCCGUGAGGUGUCCUGUUAAGUCAGGCAACGAACGAGACCCACACGCUUAGUUGCCAUCAAAAGCCCUUACGGGUUUGUUGGGAACGCUAAGCGGACUGCCAUCAUAUAGAUGGAGGAAGGAGUGGGCCACGGCAGGUCAGUAUGCCCCUAAUCCCCCGGGCCACACGCGGGCUGCAAUGGUAUGGACAAUGGGUCGCGACUCUGAAAAGAGAAGCCAAUCCCGAAACCAUAUCUCAGUUGGGAUUGUCGGCUGUAACUCGCCGACAUGAACGUGGAAUCCCUAGUAAUCGUGUGUCAUCAUCGCACGGUGAAUACGUCUCUGCUUCUUGCACACACCGCCCGUCGCUCCAUCCGAGUGUAGUAUAGUUGAAAAUCGGUCCUCAGGGUCGA
rnacentral:rRNA from 1 species